GAUCAAAUUUGCUCGACUUUAAGGUGAAAGUGAUCCAACUCUGCACCGACGCGACGGAUGCUGAAAUCUGUGCAAACCACCGACGUGAAUAGAUAUAGAGAGUUGGCAAGCCGGAAAAUAAUUCGAGACAAACGUCGAGGCGAUUGCUUUGAGUGCGAAUAUCAUACACGGGGCAAUCCGUUCGUCGAAGCGAAUGUUGCGUCCUACUUCCGGUGAAUUGGAUCCCCUGAAGGACCUCGGAAAGACAAUUGAGGAAGUUUCACGAUCUGGCAAAUCGUGCGGAGUCACCUCGGAGGAAAUAAUAUUUGGAACAUGGUAGAAAGCAGCUUCGCCGGCGACUCCCCAAAAUCAAGAUCCUCGAUGACCGAACCUUCCAGCCCUGUUCAGGACGGACCAGGACUUUCUGGGUACAGUCACGCCUACUUGUACGGCUACGGGGCCGACACCUUGCAGCAAAAAAUCAAGUCCGAAUCCCAGAUAAUCCAGUCGUCAAGAGAUCAUGUGGAUCUCGAUCGCGAACGCGUAUUUUCCAGGAGCAUUCACAGCCCUGCGAGUCCUGAUCAAUUGAAUUACCGUCCGUCCGUGUCCAGGCCCAGCUCUUCUUCGGCUACCAUGUCUUCGCCCACGUCCAUAUUCACCAUCGACAGUAUCCUCGCCCCUCGUACAGGUGGUAACGUCACCCCGACGAGCUCCGGAAGUUUGUCCACCGUGUCGAAUGCCGAACCAAUUAACUCGCCGCCGAGGACAGCCACGAUGCAUCCGCUUCAGCAGCAGCUCCAUCACUUGGCGUUCACGUCUGCAGAUUUUCUAGCUGCCGCCUAUCCGGGACUCUAUCCUGGCGGUUACGUUGCUGCGAUGGCAGCGGCUGGUGUUUCGCUCCACGGACAACCGGCUUUUUAUCACGCGACGCACCCUUAUCACAUGAGUCCAGGAGUUCCGGGGGCUGGACCGAUGACCAAGAGGAAACGGCGCCAUCGUACGAUAUUCACCGAAGAACAAUUGGAGCAGUUGGAAGCCACCUUUGACAAGACUCAUUACCCCGAUGUCUUGCUCAGAGAGCAGUUGGCCCUCCAGGUCGAUUUGAAGGAAGAGCGCAUCGAAAAAUGAUGAAGCGAGUAAAUAUGACAUAAUACUGCCGCAGAUAAGAAAACCCUGACUUCACUGUGAAAUUUCGCACCUAGGGAGUCCUGGAAAAUCCUAAUCUGCUUUUACUGCCUAAAACUUUGAACAGACCGUACACAGUGAAAAGGCGCAUUCAUUUAUUUGGGAAAAGUGUGGUUCAAAAACAGACGGGCCAAGUGGCGUAAGCAAAAAAGAGAAGAACAGGAAAGGCUUCGUAAGCUGCAGCUCGAACAACGGCAACGUACCGACGACGCUGUCGUCAUGUCGCCAAUAAGAGUCGCGAAUC